rnacentral:rRNA from 1 species
UACGAAGGGGGCUAGCGUUGUUCGGAAUUACUGGGCGUAAAGCGCGCGCAGGCGGUCUUCCAAGUCAGUGGUGAAAGCCCGGAGCUCAACUCCGGAACUGCCAUUGAAACUGUUAGACUUGAGGACGAGAGAGGUGAGUGGAAUUCCCAGUGUAGAGGUGAAAUUCGUAGAUAUUGGGAAGAACACCGGUGGCGAAGGCGGCUCACUGGCUCGUAUCUGACGCUGAGGUGCGAAAGCGUGGGGAGCAA